rnacentral:rRNA from 1 species
UGUGUGUUAGUGGAAGCGUCUGGAAAGGCGCGCGAUACAGGGUGACAGCCCCGUACACAAAAAUGCACAUGCUGUGAGCUCGAUGAGUAGGGCGGGACACGUGGUAUCCUGUCUGAAUAUGGGGGGACCAUCCUCCAAGGCUAAAUACUCCUGACUGACCGAUAGUGAACCAGUACCGUGAGGGAAAGGCGAAAAGAACCCCGGCGAGGGGAGUGAAAAAGAACCUGAAACCGUGUACGUACAAGCAGUGGGAGCACAGAGCAAUCUGUGUGACUGCGUACCUUUUGUAUAAUGGGUCAGCGACUUAUAUUCUGUAGCAAGGUUAACCGAAUAGGGGAGCCGAAGGGAAACCGAGUCUUAACUGGGCGUUAAGUUGCAGGGUAUAGACCCGAAACCCGGUGAUCUAGCCAUGGGCAGGUUGAAGGUUGGGUAACACUAACUGGAGGACCGAACCGACUAAUGUUGAAAAAUUAGCGGAUGACUUGUGGCUGGGGGUGAAAGGCCAAUCAAACCGGGAGAUAGCUGGUUCUCCCCGAAAGCUAUUUAGGUAGCGCCUCGUGAAUUCAUCUCCGGGGGUAGAGCACUGUUUCGGCAAGGGGGUCAUCCCGACUUACCAACCCGAUGCAAACUGCGAAUACCGGAGAAUGUUAUCACGGGAGACACACGGCGGGUGCUAACGUCCGUCGUGAAGAGGGAAACAACCCAGACCGCCAGCUAAGGUCCCAAAGUCAUGGUUAAGUGGGAAACGAUGUGGGAAGGCCCAGACAGCCAGGAUGUUGGCUUAGAAGCAGCCAUCAUUUAAAGAAAGCGUAAUAGCUCACUGGUCGAGUCGGCCUGCGCGGAAGAUGUAACGGGGCUAAACCAUGCACCGAAGCUGCGGCAGCGACACUAUGUGUUGUUGGGUAGGGGAGCGUUCUGUAAGCCUGUGAAGGUGUGCUGUGAGGCAUGCUGGAGGUAUCAGAAGUGCGAAUGCUGACAUAAGUAACGAUAAAGCGGGUGAAAAGCCCGCUCGCCGGAAGACCAAGGGUUCCUGUCCAACGUUAAUCGGGGCAGGGUGAGUCGACCCCUAAGGCGAGGCCGAAAGGCGUAGUCGAUGGGAAACAGGUUAAUAUUCCUGUACUUGGUGUUACUGCGAAGGGGGGACGGAGAAGGCUAUGUUGGCCGGGCGACGGUUGUCCCGGUUUAAGCGUGUAGGCUGGUUUUCCAGGCAAAUCCGGAAAAUCAAGGCUGAGGCGUGAUGACGAGGCACUACGGUGCUGAAGCAACAAAUGCCCUGCUUCCAGGAAAAGCCUCUAAGCAUCAGGUAACAUCAAAUCGUACCCCAAACCGACACAGGUGGUCAGGUAGAGAAUACCAAGGCGCUUGAGAGAACUCGGGUGAAGGAACUAGGCAAAAUGGUGCCGUAACUUCGGGAGAAGGCACGCUGAUAUGUAGGUGAAGUCCCUCGCGGAUGGAGCUGAAAUCAGUCGAAGAUACCAGCUGGCUGCAACUGUUUAUUAAAAACACAGCACUGUGCAAACACGAAAGUGGACGUAUACGGUGUGACGCCUGCCCGGUGCCGGAAGGUUAAUUGAUGGGGUCAGCGCAAGCGAAGCUCUUGAUCGAAGCCCCGGUAAACGGCGGCCGUAACUAUAACGGUCCUAAGGUAGCGAAAUUCCUUGUCGGGUAAGUUCCGACCUGCACGAAUGGCGUAAUGAUGGCCAGGCUGUCUCCACCCGAGACUCAGUGAAAUUGAACUCGCUGUGAAGAUGCAGUGUACCCGCGGCAAGACGGAAAGACCCCGUGAACCUUUACUAUAGCUUGACACUGAACAUUGAGCCUUGAUGUGUAGGAUAGGUGGGAGGCUUUGAAGUGUGGACGCCAGUCUGCAUGGAGCCGACCUUGAAAUACCACCCUUUAAUGUUUGAUGUUCUAACGUUGACCCGUGAUCCGGGUUGCGGACAGUGUCUGGUGGGUAGUUUGACUGGGGCGGUCUCCUCCUAAAGAGUAACGGAGGAGCACGAAGGUUGGCUAAUCCUGGUCGGACAUCAGGAGGUUAGUGCAAUGGCAUAAGCCAGCUUGACUGCGAGCGUGACGGCGCGAGCAGGUGCGAAAGCAGGUCAUAGUGAUCCGGUGGUUCUGAAUGGAAGGGCCAUCGCUCAACGGAUAAAAGGUACUCCGGGGAUAACAGGCUGAUACCGCCCAAGAGUUCAUAUCGACGGCGGUGUUUGGCACCUCGAUGUCGGCUCAUCACAUCCUGGGGCUGAAGUAGGUCCCAAGGGUAUGGCUGUUCGCCAUUUAAAGUGGUACGCGAGCUGGGUUUAGAACGUCGUGAGACAGUUCGGUCCCUAUCUGCCGUGGGCGCUGGAGAACUGAGGGGGGCUGCUCCUAGUACGAGAGGACCGGAGUGGACGCAUCACUGGUGUUCGGGUUGUCAUGCCAAUGGCACUGCCCGGUAGCUAAAUGCGGAAGAGAUAAGUGCUGAAAGCAUCUAAGCACGAAACUUGCC